rnacentral:rRNA from 1 species
AUUGAACGCUGGCGGCAGGCCUAACACAUGCAAGUCGAACGAGUGGCGGACGGGUGAGUAAUGUCUGGGAAACUGCCCGAUGGAGGGGGAUAACUACUGGAAACGGUAGCUAAUACCGCAUACCAUCGGAUGUGCCCAGAUGGGAUUAGCUAGUAGGUGGGGUAACGGCUCACCUAGGCGACGAUCCCUAGCUGGGUUGAGAGGAUGACCGGCAACACGGGAACUGAGAAACGGUCCAGAGUCCGACGGGAGACGGCAGUGGGGAAUAUUGCACAAUGGGCGCAAGCCUGAUGUAGCCAUGCCGCGUGUAUGAAGAAGGCCUUCGGGUUGUAAAGUACUUUCAGCGAGGAGGCGUUACUCGCUGGAGACGCACCGGCUAACUCCGUGCCAGGAGCCGAGGUAAUAC